rnacentral:siRNA from 1 species
AUGUGCAUAAUUUGGUAAUGUGAC